GUGUCAGCAGCCGCGGUAAUACGGAGGGUGCGAGCGUUAAUCGGAAUUACUGGGCGUAAAGCGUGCGUAGGCGGCUGAUUAAGUCGGAUGUGAAAGCCCCGGGCUUAACCUGGGAAUUGCAUUCGAUACUGGUCAGCUAGAGUCUGGUAGAGGUAAGUGGAAUUCCGGGUGUAGCGGUGAAAUGCGUAGAUAUCCGGAGGAACACCAGUGGCGAAGGCGGCUUACUGGACCAAGACUGACGCUGAGGUACGAAAGCGUGGGGAGCAAACAGGAUUAGAUACCCUGGUAGGCCACGCCCUAAACGAUGUCAACGAGCCGGUGGGUCCACUUAAUAGGACUCGGUGGCGAAGCUAACGCGUUAAGUUGACCGCCUGGGGAGUACGGCCGCAAGGUUGAAACUUAAAGGAAUUGGCGGGG
rnacentral:rRNA from 1 species